rnacentral:lncRNA from 1 species
CUGGAGAGAGGAAACACUGAAUGACCACUCAAAACCACUGUUUGCAUUGCAUUUAACAUACUGUGCAUGACACUGUGAACCGCACACGUUUGGUGCACUGUCAGCAGUAGCUAAGGAGAGGUGAAGAUUGGGAAGACUGCUUAAAAAAAUUUUAGUCAGCUGAGGUCUUGAACUCUUGUGGAUUUUGGAAACCAACGGAUGUGCCAAUCCCACAGAACUACAUAUUGAAAUAGAACUGUACAGUUUGGGAGCAUUCUCAGCAUGUAAAUUAACAUGAGGACUUCAAACAAAUCUGAAAUUUCCCGCAUUGCAGAGACAACACUGUUGCAGUCUAAAACUCAGAAAAAU